AACGUAGGAGACGGAGCGUUAUCCGGUAUUUGACUGGGCGUAAAGCGUGUGCAGGCGGUUCGGCAAGUUGGAUGUGAAAUCUCCCGGCUCAACGUGGGAGGGUCGUUCAAUACUACCGAACUUGAGGUCAUCAGAGGAAGGUGGAAUUCCGGGUGUAGUGGUGAAAUGCGUAGAUAUCCGGAGGAACACCAGUGGCGAAGGCGGCCUUCUGGGAUGAUCCUGACGCUCAGACGACGAAAGCUAGGGGAGCGAACGGG
rnacentral:rRNA from 1 species